UGCCCAAUAUUUACUUAGUCUGUCUGUUAAGAAAAAUGAGUGAUAAAUAAAAGAAGAAGAAGGAGGAGGAGGAGGAGGAGGAGAAAACAAACAGCUGCAUCUGUAGUAUCAGAAGGGGUCCUCCUCAACAUGAGACGACUGGCUACUUCAAUCAAUCCAUCAUAUCCUGCUUUCUCUGAAUCCCAUCCAACUUCCUGUUAA
rnacentral:lncRNA from 1 species